CCAUUUAUUGUCAUGUUUAACCUCAUGGUUCCAUCUCUUGAACAUUAGAAUUUUUGUUCGUUAAAGUUUCCAAAUUUUUUGUCAUUGUACUUUUCUUUUACGUUUUACCAAAGAAUUUUUGCAAAUAAAAAAUUCUAAAAAUAAGAACGUACGAAAAAUCUACAAAUGGACAAGAAAAUAGAAAACAUUGGAUGCGAGAGUCUUCUACGAGUGUGGGACUCAACUCUCAAUGAAAUCACCAAUUUGUGGAUGCAAAUUUCUUCCUCCUUGUUCUUGGAUAAAAUUGCACCUACAGAACAAAUAACACUUUAGGUUAAGGCUAAGAGCCUCACGCGCCCACGAUGAAUUGGGGGGGCCUUUGGCCGAAGAACCUCCGAUGCCAAAGUUAGAAUUUUGAGGGAAAAAUGUUUGGAGAAUUUUGAGAAUUUCGCAAGAGAAUUGAAAUUGGGUUUUGGAGAGAUUAAUGUAGUAUUUAUAGGGGUGUGGCUAGCCCCCUUUGGAGGAGGAGAACUGGCCACUUGGUUGGUAUUUUGGGUGAGGUUCAUGAUUUGUAGCUAAUUAGGAAUAAUUGAAUAAUAAAUCAAUUAAUUAGCUAAUUAAUAUUAUUAAAAAUGAAUGAUUUGGGGGUUACCUUGUGGAGAGAAUUUGAUGAGGAUUGAUGAAAUGGGUUUAAAAAUAAAUACCUAUUUGGGCGUUUUUUACUUAAUUGUGGGAUGAUUGUCUACUGCUUGCGCGUAGGAAUUCCGGUGUGCCUCGAGGGUAAUUUUGUCAUUUUCACCCAAAAUCCACAUGUCGCCUCUUGAUUAUUUUUGGCUCCACAACACUAAUAGUAGUGAAAUUGCACAAACACCAUCUUAAAUACUGCAGGUGUGCUCAAAUAUCACAUAAACUAAAUCUUGCCAAUUUAUCACUCAAAUUUAUGCUUAAGAGUGAAUGUUACAACCUCCAUAUGUAAGUUUUCGUUAAAACUUUAGUCAAAACGUAUCAUUUGCAAUAUAUGUGGAAACUCUUUCCAAGGAUUGUUUUUCCCACUACCUAGCUGACUGAAUAAGAAUUCAGUUGACUAAACUUUGAUGGACAUAUCUUUCGCUCCUCGAAGGCUAGUUGUAGCCAACAAGUUUUUACCCCAAGUCGCCUAGAGGUUUUAUAGUGAUGAAAUACGCAUGAAUAAGUACUCACAAGUGCAACACAUGAUGAGUUUGAUGAGUUAACAAGAUUUUUAAUAUUAAGUGAUAUUUGCGCACCCCUAAUAAUCCUAUUGUGUUAGGGGAAACCUUGCUUCUAAACUAGGAGGUUUAGAAGAGAGUAGAUGGUUGAAUGAGAUAUGCCACGUGCUGAUGCAUAAAAGCCGUCUCCCUUCUAAACAAGGAGAGAAACCUUGCUCUAAUCAACUAUAAUAAGUAACAAGAUUCGUGGUUGAGGCCACUUAGCACUACGAUCUAAUAAUAUUCAUUACUUGUAAGUAAGAAGUUUUAAGUUCAAUUCUCACUAAAGGCGAAUUUGAACCAUAUUAUUGCUAGCAUAUUAUGAGGCUUAGCCCACUUCCCCACCCGUUUAGUGUAAAUAAUAAGGAAAACUAAUGAAAAUGGCUUGAAAACUUUGAGUUUUAAUGAUAAGGACAAAAUAAAGGGUAAAGUGAAUAGUACCAGGAUUGACUUUUUAGUGUAAAAAUUUGGUUUUUUGUUAAAGUGAACAGUACCGGGUGCUUUUCGUUAAAGUUCCCUAAAUAAUAUCGUUUGUUAAAAAAUAAAUGUGUAGUUCAACAUCUUGUUGUGAUUUGCUUCCUAUUUUGUAAAGAAAUAUAUGUAGCACGUCACCUUUACGGUUUUCCCUUUCUCUCACUAUGAAAAGGUGGCUUGUAUUGACCUUGUUUUGGUGAUGCUAUAGUGUUUUUUGGUGAUUGGAUUUGGCGGUCGUCAUUUUAGUGUUUUUGAAACUAUAUUCGUUUGUUUUUUUUUUUUUUUUUUUUUUGCCGCAAUUAGACACAUUUAUAGUUUCAAAUUUAUCUAAUUUUGCAAUAUAAUUUAUGAAUGAAAACUUGAAAAAUAGGUAAUUCAGAUUGUUAAAAUAUGUGUCCAAUAAGAUGUCAUUCAAAUAAAUUUAGUCGAAAGAUGCCUCAAUAGAAGAUAUAUAUAUAUAUAACUCAUACAAAUAUAUACAUAAGUGACAAGUUGUCAAUGCUUCUACGGAUGCAAUGAGGAUAUGAAGUUAAAGUCCUACGUCAUUAAGAAACCUUAAAUAAGCCUAUAUAAAGAGUUUGUUCACUACGCCACUUCAAAUUUAAAUGUUCACUGGACCAAUUUGACAUAUUCAACUAUGUCUAUAUAUCUACAAUAUUGCUCAAAGAAAGAUUUACAGUAAAAUCUAUAUAAAUGAAUAAUGUUGAGACUAAGAAAAAAUAUUAUUUUCUAAAGGUUACUGUUAUAUCGGUGAAUUUAUUAAUUUAUCAACAAAUAAAUACUUAUUAAUUUGUAAAGAAUUUUAUGCCUUUUUUUUAUUUAUAAAAAUACGUGUAUCUUAUUAAAAACAAAAAUACAUGUAUCUUACUGAAAAACUAAGAUAUAUGUACAUAAAAAAUC
rnacentral:lncRNA from 1 species